rnacentral:rRNA from 1 species
UACAGGGGGGGCAAGCGUUGUUCGGAAUUACUGGGCGUAAAGGGUCUGUAGGUGGCCAACUAAGUCAGACGUGAAAUCCCUCGGCUUAACCGGGGAACUGCGUCUGAUACUGGAUGGCUUGAGUUCGGGAGAGGGAUGCGGAAUUCCAGGUGUAGCGGUGAAAUGCGUAGAUAUCUGGAGGAACACCGGUGGCGAAGGCGGCAUCCUGGACCGACACUGACACUGAGGAGCGAAAGCCAGGGGAGCAAACGGG